rnacentral:tRNA from 1 species
AAUAAAAGUGUCCAGGGAUGGGAAUCGAACCCACAAUGUUCCGCUUACCGGGCAGAUGCCAUGUCCACUAGGCUACUUUUAU